rnacentral:rRNA from 1 species
UACGAGGGGUCCAAGCGUUGUUCGGAAUCAUUGGGCGUAAAGCGGGUGUAGGUGGCUUUGUAAGUCAGGAGUGAAAGCCCUAGGCUCAACCUAGGAAGUGCUUUUGAUACUGCAAAGCUUGAAUGUGGGAGAGGAUCGUGGAAUUCCAGGUGUAGUGGUGAAAUACGUAGAUAUCGUAAGGAAGACCAGUGGCGAAGGCGGGUCUCUGGACAGUUCCUGACGCUGAGGCACGAAGGCCAGGGGAGCAAACGGG